rnacentral:rRNA from 1 species
GAUUAACGCUGGCGGCGUGCAUAACACAUGCAAGUCGAACGAUGAAACUUAAAUGAUUUCUUCGGAAUGAACUUAAGUGGAUUAGUGGCGGACGGGUGAGUAACGCGUGAGUAACCUGCCUUACACAAGGGGAUAGCCGUUGGAAACGACGAAUAAUACCCUAUGAUGUUUCUAUCUCGCAUGAGAUAUUAACCAAAGUGUUAGCGGUGUAAGAUGGACUUGCGUCUGAUUAGCUAGUUGGUGAGAAAAAAGCCCACCAAGGCAACGAUCAGUAGCCGGCUUAAGAGAGUGUACGGCCACAUUGGGACUGAGACACGGCCCAGACUCCUACGGGAGGCAGCAGUGGGGAAUUUUGCACAAUGGGGGAAACCCUGAUGCAGCGACGCCGCGUGAUUUAGAAGGCCUUCGGGUUGUAAAAAUCUUUUGUAUAGGAAGAAAAUGACAGUACUAUACGAAUAAGGUCCGGCUAAUUACGUG